rnacentral:lncRNA from 1 species
UUCAUUAAUGACAUAAUCUCAAAAUAUAACUAAUUAGUUUAAUAAAAAAAAGUGAUAUAAAAAUAAAACUAUAAUCAUAUAUUGAGUAAUUAAUUUUUUAAAUUUUGAAAAUAAUAUAAAUAUAUUUGGUGUGGUUAACUAAUUUUAUCCUAACUCCAUGUAGGGGUUAGAAAUUACAGGCUUUUGAUUCUCAUAAUAUCCAUACUUAAAUUUCACCGUUAAGAAUUUCCUUACUUUUAAACUUGACACAUCCUUUUCUUUUUUUUCGUGGCAACAUUGAAGGAAAAAAAAAAGAAGAAAAUAGAGACAAUAAAAAAACAUCUUAGGGUCUAAGGUAAGCAAUCCCGCA